CCCAGCAUGGACUGGUUCCAGUACAACCACUGCUUAUGCCAAGAGGGAGCCCACUUUGCCGUCACCAGGUGUGGCCACAUCCUCCGCACAGUGUGCAGGGGGCGCAGGUCCGUGCCCUGUCUGGGCCGCCAGCUGCUGCUACCUCCCCAUCUCCGACAAGGUGUGCCUGCAGGAGAAGCUCUUCUUCAAGAGCCCGGCUGACAUUGCCCUCAAGCACUUGACCCACAAAUCCCAGG